ACAGGUGAGUAGCGCGUGGAUAAUCUGCCCUGGUAUCUGGGAUAACAUUUCGAAAGGGGUGCUAAUACCGGAUAAGCCCACGGGGACUUUGGUCUUUGUGGGAAAAGGUGGGGACCUUCGGGCCUACCGUAUCAGGAUGAGUCCGCGUACCAUUAGCUGGUUGGCGGGGUAACGGCCCACCAAGGCGACGAUGGUUAGCUGGUCUGAGAGGAUGAUCAGCCACACUGGAACUGAGACACGGUCCAGACUCCUACGGGAGGCAGCAGUGGGGAAUUUUGCGCAAUGGGGGAAACCCUGACGCAGCAACGCCGCGUGAGUGAUGAAGGCCUUCGGGUCGUAAAGCUCUGUCAGAGGGAAAGAAGUGUGAGGUGGCCAAUAUCCAUUUUACUUGACGGUACCCUCAAAGGAAGCACCGGCUAACUCCGUGCCAGCAGCCGCGGUAAUACGGAGGGUGCGAGCGUUGUUCGGAAUUAUUGGGCGUAAAGCGCGUGUAGGCGGUUUUUUAAGUCUGAUGUGAAAGCCCUGGGCUCAACCCGGGAAGUGCAUUGGAAACUGGGAGACUUGAAUACGGGAGAGGGUAGUGGA
rnacentral:rRNA from 1 species